rnacentral:rRNA from 1 species
AGGCGAUGAAGGACGUGCUAAUCUGCGAUAAGCGUCGGUGAGGUGAUAUGAACCGUUAUAACCGGCGAUUUCCGAAUGGGGAAACCCAGUGUGUUUCGACACACUAUCAUUAACUGAAUCCAUAGGUUAAUGAGGCGAACCGGGGGAACUGAAACAUCUAAGUACCCCGAGGAAAAGAAAUCAACCGAGAUUCCCCCAGUAGCGGCGAGCGAACGGGGAGGAGCCCAGAGCCUGAAUCAGUGUGUGUGUUAGUGGAAGCGUCUGGAAAGGCGUGCGAUACAGGGUGACAGCCCCGUACACAAAAAUGCACAUAUUGUGAGCUCGAUGAGUAGGGCGGGACACGUGGUAUCCUGUCUGAAUAUGGGGGGACCAUCCUCCAAGGCUAAAUACUCCUGACUGACCGAUAGUGAACCAGUACCGUGAGGGAAAGGCGAAAAGAACCCCGGCGAGGGGAGUGAAAAAGAACCUGAAACCGUGUACGUACAAGCAGUGGGAGCCUCUUAAUGGGGUGACUGCGUACCUUUUGUAUAAUGGGUCAGCGACUUAUAUUCUGUAGCAAGGUUAACCGAAUAGGGGAGCCGAAGGGAAACCGAGUCUUAACUGGGCGUUAAGUUGCAGGGUAUAGACCCGAAACCCGGUGAUCUAGCCAUGGGCAGGUUGAAGGUUGGGUAACACUAACUGGAGGACCGAACCGACUAAUGUUGAAAAAUUAGCGGAUGACUUGUGGCUGGGGGUGAAAGGCCAAUCAAACCGGGAGAUAGCUGGUUCUCCCCGAAAGCUAUUUAGGUAGCGCCUCGUGAAUUCAUCUCCGGGGGUAGAGCACUGUUUCGGCAAGGGGGUCAUCCCGACUUACCAACCCGAUGCAAACUGCGAAUACCGGAGAAUGUUAUCACGGGAGACACACGGCGGGUGCUAACGUCCGUCGUGAAGAGGGAAACAACCCAGACCGCCAGCUAAGGUCCCAAAGUCAUGGUUAAGUGGGAAACGAUGUGGGAAGGCCCAGACAGCCAGGAUGUUGGCUUAGAAGCAGCCAUCAUUUAAAGAAAGCGUAAUAGCUCACUGGUCGAGUCGGCCUGCGCGGAAGAUGUAACGGGGCUAAACCAUGCACCGAAGCUGCGGCAGCGACACUAUGUGUUGUUGGGUAGGGGAGCGUUCUGUAAGCCUGUGAAGGUGGCCUGUGAGGGUUGCUGGAGGUAUCAGAAGUGCGAAUGCUGACAUAAGUAACGAUAAAGCGGGUGAAAAGCCCGCUCGCCGGAAGACCAAGGGUUCCUGUCCAACGUUAAUCGGGGCAGGGUGAGUCGACCCCUAAGGCGAGGCCGAAAGGCGUAGUCGAUGGGAAACAGGUUAAUAUUCCUGUACUUGGUGUUACUGCGAAGGGGGGACGGAGAAGGCUAUGUUGGCCGGGCGACGGUUGUCCCGGUUUAAGCGUGUAGGCUGGUUUUCCAGGCAAAUCCGGAAAACCAAGGCUGAGGCGUGAUGACGAGGCACUACGGUGCUGAAGCGACAAAUGCCCUGCUUCCAGGAAAAGCCUCUAAGCAUCAGGUAACAUCAAAUCGUACCCCAAACCGACACAGGUGGUCAGGUAGAGAAUACCAAGGCGCUUGAGAGAACUCGGGUGAAGGAACUAGGCAAAAUGGUGCCGUAACUUCGGGAGAAGGCACGCUGAUAUGUAGGUGAAGCGACUUGCUCGUGGAGCUGAAAUCAGUCGAAGAUACCAGCUGGCUGCAACUGUUUAUUAAAAACACAGCACUGUGCAAACACGAAAGUGGACGUAUACGGUGUGACGCCUGCCCGGUGCCGGAAGGUUAAUUGAUGGGGUUAGCGG